rnacentral:rRNA from 1 species
ACUCCUACGGGAGGCAGCAGUGGGGAAUAUUGCACAAUGGGCGCAAGCCUGAUGCAGCCAUGCCGCGUGUAUGAAGAAGGCCUUCGGGUUGUAAAGUACUUUCAGCAGUGAGGAAGGUGGAGUCGUUAAUAGCGGCCUCAUUUGACGUUAGCUGCAGAAGAAGCACCGGCUAACUCCGUGCCAGCAGCCGCGGUAAUACGGAGGGUGCGAGCGUUAUCCGGAUUUAUUGGGUUUAAAGGGUCCGUAGGCGGAUUAAUAAGUCAGUGGUGAAAUCCCAUCGCUUAACGAUGGAACUGCCAUUGAUACUGUUAGUCUUGAAUGAGGGUGCAGUGGUUGGAAUGUGUAGUGUAGCGGUGAAAUGCAUAGAUAUUACACAGAACACCGAUUGCGAAGGCAGAUCACUAACCCUAAAUUGACGCUGAGGGACGAAAGCGUGGGGNGCGAACAGGAUUANAUACCCUGUAGGCUCUG